rnacentral:rRNA from 1 species
UUUGGUGGCGAUAGCGAAGAGGUCACACCCGUUCCCAUACCGAACACGGAAGUUAAGCUCUUCAGCGCCGAUGGUAGUUGGGGGUCUCCCCUGUGAGAGUAGGACGCCGCCAAGC